rnacentral:tRNA from 1 species
AGGAUCAUAGUGUAGUGGUAAUGACACAUACUUUUGAAGUAGGAGACCCAGGUUCGAAUCCUACUGUGAUACAU